rnacentral:rRNA from 1 species
UACGUAGGGUGCAAGCGUUAUCCGGAUUUAUUGGGCGUAAAGAGCUCGUAGGCGGUUCGUCGCGUCUGGUGUGAAAGCGCGCAGCUUAACUGCGGGUCUGCGCCGGAUACGGGCGGGCUUGAGUGCGGUAGGGGAGAGUGGAAUUCCCGGUGUAACGGUGGAAUGUGUAGAUAUCGGGAAGAACACCAAUGGCGAAGGCAGGUGUCUGGGCCGUUACUGACGCUGAGGAGCGAAAGCGUGGGGAGCGAACAGG